rnacentral:misc_RNA from 1 species
GAUGAAGAACGUAGCGAAAUGCGAUAAGUAAUGUGAAUUGCAGAAUUCAGUGAAUCAUCGAAUCUUUGAACGCAUCUUGCGCUCCUUGGUAUUCCUUGGAGCAUGCCUGUUUGAGUAUCAUGAGCAAAUCUCAAAGUCAAUUCCUUUUGUUGAUUCAAUUGGUUUUGCUUUGGACUUGGAGGCCUUGCAGAUUUCACAGUCUGCUCCUCUUAAAUGCAUUAGCUGGAUCUCAGUAAUUAUGCUUGGUUCCACUCGGCGUGAUAAGUAUCACUCGCUGAGGACACUGUUAAAAAGGUGGCCAGGAAAAUACUGAUUGAACCGCUUCUAACGGUCUAUUAAGUUAGACAAUUACCCUUAAGUUUGCUCUCAAAUCAGGUAGGACUACCCGCUGAACUUAAGCAUAUCAAUAAGCGGAGGA